CACAGGUCUAGGAUUGUUUUAAAGUUUGGAGAGGGUGCCUUUCAGGGAAACCCAGGAAUAUGUACACAUACAAUAACUUACUGUUCUUUCGCAAGUUUGAUGUGGCUGUGACUUAGCCUAUUUUUGUAUCUAUUUUGGAAUACCAGUGUGUUUGUACCACUAUUUGUGUUGUUGAAAACAAAAAUUGCCCUUUUCCCCUUAUGGGAUAUCCAAGAGCCCAUAUAGAUUCCUUACAUAGGUUCCCUAUUGGUAGGAGAAGAUAACAGAGGCCAACCAGAGAAUAUUGAGAAGCAAAGCAGCUAGUAAGCUUGAUCUUUAUUGAUCUGUUGCAACAGGGUGCUCCCCUCACCCGCAGGAGAGGAGGAGGAACCUAGAAAAAUGGCGCACAAGGCCUUAUAAAGUCUUUUGAAAUUGCCACCCUGUAGAUCAAGACCACCCCCAGAAACAUCAUACAUACAUCACAGAAGGGGUGUAACCUAAGACCACCCAUCAGAUACAGUGGUGCCCCGCAAGACGAAUGCCUCGCAAGACGGAAAACCCGCUAGAUGAAAGGGUUUUCCGUUUUUGAGUUGCUUCGCAGGACGAAUUUCCCUAUGGGCUUGCUUCGCAAGACGAAAAUGUCUUGCAAGUCUUGAGAUUUUUUUUUCGCUUUUCCCCCCCUUUAUCUAAUCUGCUAAGCCUUUAAUAGCCUUUAAUAGCCUUUUAGCAGCUAAUCCGCUAAGCCUUUAAGCCUUUAAUAGCCGCUAAACCGCUAAUAGCGCUAAUCCGUUAAGCCGCUUAUAGGGUUGCUUCGCAAGACGAAAAAACCGCUAGACGAAGACUCUCGCGGAACGGAUUAAUUUUGUCUUGCGAGGCACCACUGUACAUCAUACCUACAUCACAGAAAACGCAGUCUUAAAACAGAAAUUUGAAUGUUGUUUUUCUCCUGUUGUUGUUUAUCUGCUGUCUGGCAGGCUACUUGAUUGGAUUGCCUGGGGAGCCUGGCCAGUCUUCUGUAAUAAUAAAUACUUAGUUCCUGGGCCAGGUCACAGGCUCACACCCAAUUCAUAUCUUAAAUGUGCCCUUAAGACAGGAUUUGUGAGGAAAGAGACAAUGGGGAGGUUUCCCACUUUGACCUUGAAGAGAAAACAUUUGCUCAGUUUAGGAAUCAAAAUGUUUCCAUGUUGGUCUUCCUGCGCUGCUCUAUGUACGUGCUUGGUUGGUACGCUUAUGAACAUAACCAUAUAUCUAAGACCUCAAAAUUCCUAUCACAGUGUAUAGAAAUGUAAGCAAGUAAUGAGUUCAAUCUGGAUUGAUUAAGAGCUAAAAGAUUAUGUGGAGAUAAGGGAUUUAUUAACGGAUUGGUUACAGUUUCACCAAUUAAAUUAUAUUUUUUAAAUACAGUGGUACCUCAGGUUACAUACGCUUCAGGUUCCAUACACUUCAGGUUACAGACUCCACUAACCCAGAAAUAGUACCUUGGGUUAAGAACUUUGCUUCAGGAUGAGAACAGAAAUCGUGCUCUGGCAGCGCGGCAGCAGCAGGAGGCCCCAUUAGCUAAAGUGGUGCUUCAGGUUAAGAACAGUUUCCGGUUGCAGUCGUGAAAUAUCAAGAUUUCAAAAAGAUCUGCUAGAAAAUAAUGCUAAAUUACUGUCCAAAAUGUAUAGCUUACUUUUAGAGUGGCAUACAAAAGAUGAACAGGUCAAGUCAGUAAUGAUACACUGGGCAAAGGAUCUGGGACAUAAUAUUCAGAUAGUAGAUUGGGAAACGUUAUGGAAAACAGAUUUGAAAUUUACGGCAUGUUAUGCUUUGAAAGAAAACUAUGAAAUUGAUGUACCGGUGCUAUUUAACCCCUACCAAGUUGGCAAAAAUGUAUAGGACAACUACAAAUACUUGUUGGAAAUGUAAAGAAAAAGAAGAUACUUUUUAUCAUAUGUGGUGGACUUGUAAGGUAAUAAAAGCUUUCUGGGAGAUGAUGUACAAUGAAAAUGUUUAAAAUAGCUUUUGUUAAGAAACCAGAAUGAUUUCUAUUAGGAAUUACAGAUACUAAUAUUCCAAAGGAAAAGAAGAGACUCUUUAUGUAUGGAACAACAGCUGGCCAGAUGUUAAUAGCUGGAUGGAAAGAGGACAAGGUCCCUACCAGAGAGGAGUGGCAAACCAAGCCGAUGGACUAUGCCGAGAUGGCAAAACUGAAUGGAAAACUCAGAAACCAAGGGGACAAAAACUUUAUGAAAGAAUGGGGGGGGGGGAUUAUAAAUUAUUUAGGAGACCACUGUAAGCAGAUGGAAACAUUAGCAGGAUUUUAAUCUCACUUGUAGUUUAAAAAUUACCAUGGAUAAUAUGGUUUGAUAUAAAAAUUGAAGUAUGAAAGAAUAUACAGUAUUAAAUGUUAAAAAUGGGACCCCAUGGAAGGGAUGGGGGGAAGUCCUGAGAUUCGGAGGAAUCUAUAUGAAUAUACUUUUUGAUUUUUUUGUUUAUAACUUUGUAUUUGAGAAAACAAUAAAAAUGAUUUCAAAAAAAGAGAGAGAAAGAGCUGCUCUGUGGGGUGGGGUGGGAGAGCAGGUUAGGGGUAUUGCUUUGUUCCUACUUUGUACCUGAGCUGACUGUUGUACAAAACUCAGUGGAAAUUAUCUGAAAAAAACAAAAAACAAAAAUGCAAUCUCAGUCAGCACAAAAAGUUACUUCAACAGCUGAAAGGCAUGCCUUCUCCAGGCUUUUAAAUAAUAUAUCACUGAUGCAGCAAAUGCUGAAAUAACAUAAAUACUGAUUUAUUGUGAAUUAAAUGUGAAAAUGAAAAAUGAAUGGAAAGAGGGAUGUUUCGGUAUAAGUAUGAUCAGCUCCAUAGGAGAAAUGUCAUGCAUGAACUGUAUAAUAUAUACUUGCAGGCUCACUAAAAAUGUAUAAAUCAGGUAGGGAAAUUCAGGACUGGAGGCCAGAUGUGGCCCUCUGUGCCCCUCUACCUGGCCCUCAGGACUCUUGCCACUCCCAUUCUCACCCUAUUCUGCACCCUCUUGAAUGUCUCUGCCUGAACAGAAUUGGUGUCCCUGAACUAGUCUCAAACGUUUGUUGGGGGAGACCUAGGGUUUUUUUGGGGGGGGAGUUAUUUGUCCUGUCUUCACGCUUUUUAUGAUGGAGGACCGCUGUAGCCAUCCCCAACAACACGUUCUCAAGAUGGAGGGGGAGGGAACAGCUGCAGUCGCCUGUGGUUCCUGCGCAAUGUUUGCCAUCUUGCCAAAGGUUGCAGGCAGCUUUACCUGCAGCAAUUGCAUGUUGAUUGCCCUCUUAGAAGACAAAGUCCAGCAACUGGAGGAACGUGUAGCUACGCUCCAAAGAAUUAGAGAGCUGGAGCUCUUCUUGGAAGCAACAGAGCACACCGUCUCCACCAAGGAAGAGACAGGGGACUCCCCUGAGAAGGAGGCUAGUUCACCAACACAGGAGCCAGAUAUAUGGAGAAACGUGACUCAAAGAAGUAGGAGGCCCAGGGUUCACUCUGAUUGUUUAGAAAUACACAAUCGCUUUGAGGUCCUCUCCCCUAGCAUGGAAGACGAAGAGCAGACUCCAUUUGAGGAUCUCUCCCUCAUUACAGUCGAUCAGGUAUAUGAAGACGAGCAGCAAAGUCAGUCCUCAGGGAAUGUGCAGGCGACCUUGGAACGGACAGCUCACGGAAGAACCCCGACCAAACCUAAGAGGAGGCGUGUAGUGGUGAUAGGGGAUUCCCUACUGAGGGGAACAGAAGCAGUGAUCUGUGGGCCUGACAAGAUGUCUCGGGAAGUGUGCUGUCUCCCCGGGGCUAAGAUCCAAGAUGUAACUGAACGACUGCAAGGAAUCAUAAAACCCACUGACAAAUACCCCUUCCUCUUGGUUCAUGUGGGAACCAAUGACACUGCAAGCAACAGCCUCCAGAAGAUCAAAAGAGACUACGAGGCUCUGGGCAGGAAAUUAAAGCAAUUAAAUGCACAAAUUGUCAUCUCAUCUGUCCUCCCAGUUGAACGACGUGGCCCAGGGAGAGGGAAAAAUAGUGGAAGUGAACAGCUGGCUUCGCAAAUGGUGUAAACAGGAACGGUUUGGAUUCUUAGAUCACGGACUGCAGUUUCUUGAAGAUGGACUUCUGGCAAGCGAUGGGCUGCACCUCACAACGGUUGGAAUGUUUUUGCCAAAAAUGUCAGAAACCUCAUCAGGAGGGCUUUAAACUGACUAAUGUGGGGGAGGGAGACAGUGCUCCUGAAGGUAGGAGUCUAUCAAUUGAUGAAGAUGAUCAUCCAAAUGUCAUAGACCAAAUGGAGCAAACAGCACGCAGACCUAGUGGUGGGAGGAAAAAAAUCAUUUAAUAAGAGACACGGGGGAAUGAUUAAUGGACUUCAAUGUCUGUACACUAAUGCGCAAAGCAUGGGAAAUAAACAAGAUGACCUUGAGCUCUUGGUACAGCAAACUAAAUAUGACAUAAUAGGCAUCACUGAAACCUGGUGGGAUAAGUCCUACGAUUGGAAUGUAAUAAUGGAGGGAUACAAUCUAUUUCAGAGAAACAGACCAGACAAGAAAGGAGGAGGAGUUGCGUUAUAUGUCAGGGAUGUGUAUACCUGUGAAGAGAUCCAAGAUUUAGAACCUCAAAGCCAAAGUGAGAGCAUUUGGGUCAAAAUUAAGGGAGAGAAGAAUAACAGUGACCUCAUUGUGGGAGUUUACUAUAGAUCCCCAAGCCAAACGGAGGACAUAGAUGAUGCCUUCCUGGAACAGAUGGCCAAGCAUGCAAAAGGGAGAUAGUAGUAAUGGGGGACUUCAAUUACCCGGAUAUUUGUUGGAUGUCAAACUCAGCCAAGAGCAUAAGGUCAAACAGAUUCCUCACUGGCCUUGCAGACAACUUCAUUGUCCAGAAAGUGGGAAAAGCAACAAGAGGAACAGCCAUUUUAGAUCUGGUCCUAACCAAUGUUGAUGACCUGGCUAGUGGGGUAGAAGUGGAAGGAUCAUUAGGCGCGAGUGAUCAUGCUCUUCUGAAGUUUACUAUACAGUGGAAAGGAGAAGCCAAGCAUACUAGGAUUCAAUUUCUUGACUUUAAGAAAGCCGACUUCAUAAAACUUAGGGAAGUGCUGGGUGAGAUCCCAUGGACAGUAAUACUAAAAGGAAAGGGAGUUCAUGAUGGCUGGGAGUUUGUUAAGAGGGAGAUAGUAAAAGCACAACGUCAGGCAAUACCAAUGAGAUGGAAACAUGGAAGGUGCCUAAAGAAGCCAGGGUGGCUAUCUAAAGAACUUUUAACUGAGUUAAGAUUUAAAAAGGAUGUGUACAAAAAAAUGGAAAAGGGGGGAAACCACCAAAGAGGAAUUCAAACAAAUAGCCAGCACGUGUAGACACAAAGUCAGAAAAGCUAAAGCACAGAAUGAACUCAGGCUUGCUAGAGAGGUUAAAAGCAACAAAAAGGCUUUUAUGGGUAUGUUCAUAGCAAAAGGAAGAACAAAGAAACAGUGGGGUCACUCAGAGGAGAAGAUGGUGAAAUGCAAACAGGGGACACAGAAAGGGCUGAACUCCUCAAUGCCUUCUUUGCCUCAGUCUUCUCCGAUAAAGAAAACAAUGCCCGACCUGAAGAAUUUGGAGCAAAUGAUUCAGCAGAGGAAACACAGUCCAGAAUGACUAAGGAGAUAGUACAAGAAUACUUGGCUAGUUUAGAUGUAUUCAAGUCUCCAGGGCCAGAUGAACUGCAUCCAAGAGAAUUAAAAGAACUGGCAGAUGUGAUCUCAGAACCACUGGCAGUCAUCUUUGAGAAUUCCUGGAGAACAGGCGAAGUCCCGGCAGACUGGAGGAGGGCAAAUGUUGUCCCUAUUUUCAAAAAGGGGAAAAGAGAGGACCCAAAUAAUUACCGCCCAGUCAGUCUGACAUCAAUACCAGGGAAGAUUCUGGAGCAGAUCAUUAAGCAAACAGUCUGUGAGCACCUAGAAAGGAAUGCUGUGAUCACCAAUAGUCAGCAUGGAUUUCUGAAAAAUAAGUCAUGUCAGACUAACCUGAUCUCGUUUUUGACAGAAUUACAAGCCUGGUAGAUGAAGGGAAUGCAGUGGAUGUAGCCUACCUUGAUUUCAGCAAGGCAUUUGACAAGGUGCCCCAUGAUAUUCUUGUAAAGAAGCUGGUAAAAUGCGGUCUUGACUAUGCUACCACUCAGUGGAUUUGUAACUGGCUGACUGACCGAACCCAAAGGGUGCUCAUCAAUGGUUCCUCUUCAUCCUGGAGAAGAGUGACUAGUGGGGUGCCAUAGGGUUCUGUCUUGGGCCCGGUCUUAUUCAACAUCUUUAUCAACGACUUGGAUGAUGGACUCAAGGGCAUCCUGAUCAAAUUUGCAGAUGACACCAAACUGGGAGGGUGGCUAACACCCCAGAGGACAGGAUCACACUUCAAAACGACCUUGACAGAUUAGAGAACUGGGCCAAAACAAACAAGAUGAAUUUUAACAGGAGAAAUGUAAAGUAUUGCACUUGGGCAAAAAAAUGAGAGGCACAAAUACAAGAUGGGUGACACCUGGCUUGAGAGCAGUACAUGUGAAAAGGAUCUAGGAGUCUUGGUUGACCACAAACUUGACAUGAGCCAACAGUGUGACGCGGCAGCUAAAAAAGCCAAUGCAAUUCUGGGCUGCAUCAAUAGGAGUGUGAAUCUAGAUCAAAGGAAGUAAUAGUGCCACUGUAUUCUGCUCUGGUCAGACCUCACCUGGAGUACUGUGUCCAGUUCUGGGCACCACAGUUCAAGAAGGACACUGACAAACUGGAACGUGUCCAGAGGAGGGCAACCAAAAUGGUCAAAGGCCUGGAAACGAUGCCUUAUGAGGAACGGCUAAGAGAGCUGGGCAUGUUUAGCCUGGAGAAGAGGAGGUUAAGGGGUGAUAUGAUAGCCAUGUUCAAAUAUAUAAAAGGAUGUCACCUAGAGGAGGGAGAAAGGUUGUUUUCUGCUGCUCCACAGAAGCGGACACGGAGCAAUGGAUCCAAACUACAAGAAAGAAGAUUCCACCUCAACAUUAGGAAGAACUUCCUGACAGUAAGAGCUGUUUGACAGUGGAAUUUGCUGCCAAGGAGUGUGGUGGAGUCUCCUUCUUUGGAGGUCUUUAAGCAGAGGCUUGACAACCAUAUGUCAGGAGUGCUCUGAUGGUGUUUCCUGCUUGGCAGGGGGUUGGACUCGAUGGCCCUUGGGGUCUCUUCCAACUCUAUGAUUCUAUGAUUCUAUGAACUCUUGCUUGCCUGGAUGCCUGUGAGUAGUGUUGUAAACAAAUAUUGCCCCUUUCCCGUAUGGGGUAUCCAAGAGCCCAUAUAGAGUCCUUACGUUAGGUUCACUAUUGGUAGGAGAAAAUAACAGAGGCCAACCAGAGAAGAUUGAGAAGCAAAGCAGCUUUAUUAAAGCUGUUGCAACAGGGUGCUCCCCUCACCCACAGGAAAGGAGGAGGAACCCAGAACAAUGGUGCGCAAGGCCUUAUAAAGACUUUUGAAAUUGCCAUCCUGUAGAUCAAGACCACCCCCAGAAACAUCAUACCUACAUCACAGAAAAGGUGGUCUAAAACAGAAAUUUGAAUGUUGUUUAUCUCCUGUCUGGCAAGUUACUUGAUUGGAUACUCUGCUUACUUGAUUGGAUUGCCUGGGGAGCCUGGCCAGUCUUUUGUAAUGAUAAAUACUUAGUUCCUGGGCCAGGUCACAGGCUCACACCCAAUUCAUAUCUUAAAUGUGCCCUUAAGACAGGAUUUGUGAGGAAAGAGACAAUGGGGAGGUUUCUCAUUUUGACCUUGCAGAGAAAACAUUUGCUCAGUUUAGGAAUCAAAAUGGUUCCAGGUCGGUCUUCCUGUGCUGAUCUAUGUAUGUGCUUGGUUGGUACACUUAUGAAAAUUAC